AGCAAUUAUGGUCUUCAGGUAACGGCAAGUGAGGAGCUCAUUAUCGUCAGCCCUUUUGCAUUUAGCUUGAAGGGUGCAGCACUAAGCCACAAAACUAAAUACAGAAGAACUUGAUUUUCAGAUCCUAAUGUUCAGGAACAUAAGAAGAGUCUUCUGAAUCAGGCCGAUGGUCCAUCUAGUCCAGCAUCCCAUACCCUCCAACAUGAUGUGGCCCUAAGCCAGGACCCCACCUUCUGUGGCUGCACUCCCAUAAGCUACCAAUGAAGUGGAAUCAGGACAGAGAAAUGUAUGGUCUGACGCAGUCACAGCACAACUGUUUUGGGGAAAGGGGUAAGAAUUUGAGAAAGAAAAGACAAGACAGCUCCGUGUUAAGCGUAACAUCUAUUUCUGCCUUGUCUUUCUGACUAAGCUAUUCCUCAAAAAUUGUUUGGGCGUCUCUCUAGAAUUACUUGAUCAAAUUUUCAGUUCCAAUACUGGCUUAGACCUGCUUGUAAUUUUCCUUGGCUGUGCAAUUGUACAAAUGCAGAAUACUUUGCGAACAAUGAAGAUUUCCAAAAACUAAUAACCUCUCAGAGAAAAACUAUUGUGGCCCAGCACUGCAAAUGUAAAUGAAUAUGUGGACUGCUUCGUGAAAAUAAAUAGCUUUUCAUAUGAAAACUAUUUCACAACAGAGCAACAUGAAGUUGGCAGGAAAGAGUCAUGGUAAUUAUGUCCCUAAAGAUUAAUUUCAUCACUUUGACUUUUUUUCAAAAAAGUAUUCAGGACAAAAAUAUUUAUCAAAGACUCUGAACACAGAAUAUGGGUGAUCUCAUUUAUGCAAGUUGCAGUUCUUAUUUGUUUCAUAGUUUCCUCCAUUGGAGAUUAAGAUAAGAGCUGAAAUUUCCCUGGAGGUUCUAUUUCAUAACUUUGCCGGUAUUUUGUAGUCCGUGCUUAUUGGUUUGAUAGAUGACCUUGUUUGUAUGCAAAUUAGUUAUUUUAAAUACAUGUAAUCUUUUCCAAAUAAUUACUGUUCGGGAGCCAACCUACAGUAGCUGAGCUAAGAAUGAAAUCCAAAUAAAGUAUGCAUUUCUUGACACUC